rnacentral:rRNA from 1 species
GAUGAACGCUGGUGGCGUGCCUAAUACAUGCAAGUCGAGCGGACGGACGAGAAGCUUGCUUCUCUGAUGUUAGCGGCGGACGGGUGAGUAACACGUGGAUAACCUACCUAUAAGACUGGGAUAACUUCGGGAAACCGUAGCUAAUACCGGAUAAUAUUUUGAACCGCAUGGUUCAAAAGUGAAAGACGGUCUUGCUGUCACUUAUAGAUGGAUCCGCGCUGCAUUAGCUAGUUGGUAAGGUAACGGCUUACCAAGGCAACGAUGCAUAGCCGACCUGAGAGGGUGAUCGGCCACACUGGAACUGAGACACGGUCCAGACUCCUACGGGAGGCAGCAGUAGGGAAUCUUCCGCAAUGGGCGAAAGCCUGACGGAGCAACGCCGCGUGAGUGAUGAAGGUCUUCGGAUCGUAAAACUCUGUUAUUAGGGAAGAACAUAUGUGUAAGUAACUGUGCACAUCUUGACGGUACCUAAUCAGAAAGCCACGGCUAACUACGUG